UUUUCUUUCUUUUGGAUGAUGCUUUGUGAAUCUAUACCUACAUAGACAUGUUUUAAUUUGAAAAGACUUUUGAAUUUUACUGUGGAGUCAUAAAAUGUGCAACCGAUGCUUCUGGAAAAAGACGUGUAUAUAAAUGUUCUCAACAAUUAAAAAAGAACUAGAAACUUAAUGUAUACAUUAAAGACCCUCUCUAUGCAAAUUAAAUUAGCCAAUUUAAGUGUUUUUUCCUGUACUCAUCCAUCUAUAAAAACUCUUACAGUUUUAUAAAACCUUUUGUAAUCUUUGAACUUUAAAUCGAAAGUCGUAUUUGACUUGGUAAACGCCAUUGAAGUGGUUUGUAAUAUGUGUUGGUUAGUUGCAAGUUACAAAAAUGACCUUUUUGCUUGGAAUAUAUACAGCAAGCUAUUUCACAUAAAUUACAACCAGCUUCUUUUUUGAAUUGAAGGUGAAAGAAAGGUCUUGAAGGAUUUUCAAACGGAGUUAUAAAUUGUAGAAGUAAAAUUCAACUGGCAGAAGAAGUUGUUGAACAGUUGUGCGUCGUUUGAUGAUGUAUUUGUAUAUAUGUUUGCUUGAUAAAAAUAAUAAAAGACAUCUCAUUCAUAUAUACCUUUUAUCACACCGUAAAAUUUCUUUACGAUCUUUGAAAUGUAAAUUCCAUAAGAUAAUUCCAUUUCUCUACCUAAACAAACAUACAAGACAGUGUAAACGCUGGUGUAUUUUACAUACAAUUGUACAGAUCUACAUAAAGAACUAAAGUCGAAAAGGGAACUUAAGCUAUUAUUACAAACACAAGCUUGAAAUUGAUUUUGCAAACAUAAUUCAUUCAUAUCAUUGAUGUAUUCGAAAUUGCCUACGGAAUAGGUGCUGUUUUGGCUCUUUUAAUAAUCCAAAUACUUUAUUGAUGAAAACAACGUACUACCGUCGCCGGAAGUGUUGCAUUAUAUAAAUUGCGUUAGGCAAUUUGUGAUAUAUACAUAAAAAGGCAAUGUAAAUAACAUCUUCAUAAGCGUAUUGUAAUUUGAUUUUGAAGUCAAGAAAUUGGAAAUCUUCUAUGUAUCUUAUUAUUAAAGUUAAAAACAAAGUGUCCUAAACAUUGGUAAUUUUGUGCGUCGUAUUGAUGAUGGGAAAACAUGGACAAGGGCUACCUAAUAGUGCUCCUUCUAUGACCUGCGUUUUAAUAAGCUUUGGUCACCACAAGAAUGGUGACCUUAAUUGACAGAAGAUAGACACUUCCACAUACGAAAUAAGAGUUGAAGUUGUCGACAGAGCCGUUCGUCUAUUCAUUGAAGGAACUAUACAAGGAUUUCUUAUUCAAACCAGACAAAACAAUUCAAGUCCGGCUUUGGGAGAAUUUAAGCUACCUGAAGGAUACAAUUCAAUCGCUCGAUAUCAAAACUGCACACACGAAAACGCUUUUAUCAGAAGCGAAUUUUCGUCGUAUAUUACAAAUUCCGAAAUUAGAAUUAAACUUAUUAUAUUGAGUAGAAUUUACUAGGCCAAAGUAUUUGUAAAAUCUUUAUUCGUCAAGCAUUACGUACAUUUAUUAAGUUAAUUAAGUUACACAUUCCUAUAUGCAAGAUAUGUUGAAAACAAUGAGUACAAAGACUAUUGCGGGAACUUCGUGACGUUGUCAUGCAGUAUCUAUGGAGUAUCCAAGGUUAGGCAAAAUAAAUUAUGGCCACUAAUUUUGAAUUUAUAAUAUCCUAAUAAAAAUCCAUUUGUUGUGAAAUUCAAAAGUUAAAAUCUUACCAAUAGAUAGACUGUAGUAAUUUAGUUUGCUUAACGCUGGAUACCUGCAUUGACACACAUCAUUAAGUUUCCACGACUUAGCUUAUACUAUAUCUUUGCGAGCAUAUACUACAUCUUAGUGCAAGUUUGUUUUAACAAAUUGUAGAAUAUAUUUCUAGUAAGUUGUA